GAUGAACGCUGGCGGCGUGCCUAAUACAUGCAAGUCGAGCGAACGGACGAGAAGCUUGCUUCUCUGAUGUUAGCGGCGGACGGGUGAGUAACACGUGGAUAACCUACCUAUAAGACUGUGAUAACUUCGGGAAACCGGAGCUAAUACCGGAUAAUAUUUUGAACCGCAUGGUUCAAAAGUGAAAGACGGUCUUGCUGUCACUUAUAGAUGGAUCCGCGCUGCAUUAGCUAGUUGGUAAGGUAACGGCUUACCAAGGCAACGAUGCAUAGCCGACCUGAGAGGGUGAUCGGCCACACUGGAACUGAGAAACGGUCCAGACUCCUACGGGAGGCAGCAGUAGGGAAUCUUCCGCAAUGGGCGAAAGCCUGACGGAGCAACGCCGCGUGAGUGAUGAAGGUCUUAGGAUCGUAAAACUCUGUUAUUAGGGAAGAACAUAUGUGUAAGUAACUGUGCACAUCUUGACGGUACCUAAUCAGAAAGCCACGGCUAACUACGUG
rnacentral:rRNA from 1 species